AAGAAUAGCAUCAGUGUUGAUGAGUAAAUUCUGAUAAAUUUCAAAGACCUUAGUUUUAGAAUGAAUAAAUGUGGACUAAUUUAGGUUUAAAAACUACUAUUAAUUCUUUUUUUCAAUAGAGCUGAAGAUCCAUGAAUAUGCAUGUUUCCAGUCUUCCUCCUUUGAGUCUUCAACAGACUGUUGAAGUCUAGAACCCUGUCCUAAGAAACAUGGACAAGCCUGUGUCUUAACAAAAGCACUAGAUGGCAGCAUAAGACAUCUAUUCAACUGUCUCUCUCCACAGGCUGCUGGAAUUUUGACAGCUACAAAACGGGCUUGGAAAUACUCCAUUGGAAUAUCUGAAAUCAGCUGACUAAUGAAGAAUGAAGAAAAGAUGGAGAAGGUACAAUCAUUAUAAAGUGCCUUGACAUGGAGGUGACACAUGUUGCUGCUUCUCAGGUUUUAUUAAUGAGAAGAAGUCACAUGACCCCAUCUCAUUGUAACAAGUCUGGGAAAUGUGGCUGACCAUUCACCAAAGAAAAGAACACAGAUAAUGUUGCAGAAUCCUGCUGAAGAAGAGGAUUAAUUACAGAUGAGCUGUGUGUCAUGAUAAUUAACUAUUGCGGCUUCCCUUAUUUGCUACAUUCUGGUACUUUUUCCGCUUUAGUAGAUUCAAGGAAUGAGAAUUUUUAUCACAUCCCCUGCCUGAUGUCCCUGAUGGA